UAUUCCCCACUGCUGCCUCCCGUAGGAGUCUGGGCCGUGUCUCAGUCCCAAUCUGGCUGGUCGGUCUCUCAACCCAGCUACCCAUAAUCGCCUUGGUGGGCCGUUACCUCACCAACAAGCUAACAGGCCGCGGGCCCAUCCCUCGCCGUCGGGGCUUUCCCCCCGAGAGGAUGUCCUCAAGGGGGCGUAUCCGGUAUUAACCACGGUUUCCCGAGGCUGUCCCGGUGCGAGGGGCAGGUUGCCCACGUGUUACUCAGCCGUUCGCCACUUUAUACACACCCGAAGGUGCUUUAACCGUUCGACUUGCAUGUGUUAGGCGCGCCGCCAGCGUUCAUCCUGAGCCAA
rnacentral:rRNA from 1 species